rnacentral:rRNA from 1 species
GAUGAACGCUGGCGGCGUGCCUAAUACAUGCAAGUCGAGCGAACAGACGAGGAGCUUGCUCCUCUGACGUUAGCGGCGGACGGGUGAGUAACACGUGGAUGACCUACCUAUAAGACUGGGAUAACUUCGGGAAACCGGAGCUAAUACCGGAUAAUAUAUUGAACCGCAUGGUUCAAUAGUGAAAGACGGUUUUGCUGUCACUUAUAGAUGGAUCCGCGCCGCAUUAGCUAGUUGGUAAGGUAACGGCUUACCAAGGCAACGAUGCGUAGCCGACCUGAGAGGGUGAUCGGCCACACUGGAACUGAGACACGGUCCAAACUCCUACGGGAGGCAGCAGUAGGGAAUCUUCCGCAAUGGGCGAAAGCCUGACGGAGCAACGCCGCGUGAGUGAUGAAGGUCUUCGGAUCGUAAAACUCCGUUAUUAGGGAAGAACAAAUGUGUAAGUAACUAUGCACGUCUUGACGGUACCUAAUCAGAAAGCCACGGCUAACUACGUG